rnacentral:tRNA from 1 species
GCCUUCGUGGUGUAGUGGUCAGCACGCUGGGCGCGUAUUCCAGAGGUCUGUGGUUCGAGUCCCGGCGAAGGCU